CCGCGCCAGGCGCCGCAAGCAGGCCGCCGCCGACUCUAGUUUUAAGGACCGGACGAACCAAAGAGAUCUGGAAGGCAGCGGCAGCGCGGAGCCCGCGGAAAGACUGACGGCGGAGGCGGCGGCGGCCGCGGCGGAGGCGACGACGGUCCGCCCGCAAUGACUCACGGCACCCCUGUGGCUCGCCGCGGCCAGCGUUCUCCACUCGACUCGCGACACCCUGCGUGCUCACACUCUCUCCACACACAGACUCUUUUAUAAAUAGAUUUACAAGAGAAACUGUGCUGUAGCGAAGAUCGAAGAAAGGAACGAAAUACAUGAAAGACGUCAAUGUUUACUAUUGUGGUAUCACGUUUCACUCAAGAGCAAGACGGAACUACUCAGGGACAUUGUAACGAUAGAAAUGAAACGUGCGGAUGACAAAGACCAUACGCGAGGCAUUUUUGUGUUGGAGUAGGUCAAAAUACUUUUGCCAGAGACCGAGUUUUAAAUUGUGGAAAGCAAUUAACAUCCAGAGGAUCAACGACAAAUAUUUCCUAGAAGAUUAACAAAAUAUUUGGAGCUAAUGUUCCUGGGCCGUAGGUGCAUCAUAAAAAAAUAUAAUAAAAGAGAGAGAGAGAGAGAGACAGUGCCAUAAUUGCUUCUGCAGUAACGGCUUUUCCACGUCUCAUAAGAGACGCCCAAAGCGAAAAAGCUCAUUGUAUGGGUUUCAGUUUCCCUGUUGAUUUUGUCAUGCAGUAUGUAAUUAUUUUUAGGAUAUCAAAUACCUUAAAAUUAUGGCAAACGAAAAUAUCAAUUAAAUUCGUUCAGCAUAAUUAUUUGUACAUACAAUAUUGUAAUAAUGAGCAUGGAAAAAUCAUUUGAGUGUGCCGUAGAAAAAACAGACAACUAACUUUUAUCUAAUAGGUGUUAAAACACCUUGCUUACAGUAACAGCUGUGUCGGUGGAAGGGGCGUAUCUUCUGCAAUUUUUCUGAAAACUAAUUAUGACACAAUGGCACUAGAAUAACAAAUAUUUUUGUCAUGUAUGUUCGUGAGUAUUGUAUGAAGAACAGUAAACAUAUUUAAGAAUUUAUCACACUAUGAAAUUAAGGUGUGUUUUAGUAUUACCUACUGUGAAAUUGAAUGUCAGUAAACCGAUAAUUUUAAAGGUCAAAAAGUAACUUAAAAUAGUGUACAAUUUUCGUACUAACUUUCUAACAUUUAUGUACAACAAAAUAACUAUUCUUCAAGAUUAUUGAACUGAAAAAAAAAACAAAAAACGAAAUCAUCUUCAUGAAAUGCAGUCGAUUCAGCAGUUGCUGACAUUCCCGCCACCGAAUGCUGAAAUCAUCUAACGGUAAUAACAUAAUAUAGAUGACAAUGGUGAUGCAGUAUUAUUAGUUUUAAAUGAGCACCUCAAUAAAAUGUAACUGCUUAACUUUAAAAUGUAUUCAUUACAAAAUAUCAUCAUAAUCCUACAUGAACUUUAGUCAAAUCACUGAAUAUGUAUGUAGACAAAAUGCCAAAGACAAUUCAGUAUCCUACUAAUAUUCAGAGCUAAUUACCUGUAACCUCAAUAGAAUAAAUGAAUCUUUCACAAACAAAUGACUGACUAAGGCUGAAGAAGCAAGUUUCUCUGAAAUACCGUACACCUAUUUAUCCAGCCGUUCUGCGUGCAUAGCACGUUUAAUGUUACAGUGCCAAGAACUUAAUUUCUGAAGUACUGAAAGUAUAUAUCUUAAUUAGAAAUUGCUUAUUAAUUCUCGUGUUAGUGGGAUACAUUCCCUCUCGUCAGCACUAAAGACAUUUUUGAAUCUCAUCACUGUUGAAGAAGUACUAUAUUCAACACAUAACAGUGAUUUUGUUUUUUCAUUUAUUUUUUGUGUUUUACCAUUACACUACUAAAAAGUGGUCGUAAAAAUAUGUAAGUGCCUUGCAAAGAAUUCCUUGUAUGAUGAGAUGGAUCAUAGCUCUAAAUCAUUUCAUAGAGGCUGUACUACUAUGUAUGCAAGAAAAUUUCACUGCCAUUACAACAUUAAAAUUAAUUUGUCUCUAAGACCUUGAUAUUUACAGAUAUAAUUUAUUUGACAAGUAUUUAAAACUUAUAUGAGGCAAUCUGUAAUGUGUUUAAAUGUUUGUUUGUAUUUGAUAAGUAUGAAUCUUUUGUACGCCGUAAAAUGUGUCAACAGUAAUGUAUGUUUAUUGUGUAAUAAGAGAAUCGUAAGCAGAAGAAAAUAAUGAAUAUGUCCCUCCGAAAUGUUCUAACAGAUGUAUAUUUCUUACCGCUGUAGGAAUCAACUGAUGUUGCAUUUAGAAAGACACGUGUAAUGCAUGUAGAGUUAAAUUUUCAGGAAACAAAAUAAUAUUAAUAAAUUAAUAAAUAAAAAUAAAUUCAUUGAUUAACAA